UCAAACACCACCAACUAGGUAAAUGGCUCAGCCUUUGUAUCCACGAAAUGCAAGCACGAGUUGAUUUUUUCCAAGGUCAACCCUCCCAAUUUCAUGUCAUAAACAAUGCUCCAGCCUCCGGUCUAUAUGCUUUAUUUAUGCUCUACUUCUGCUCUAAUCUCCAAUCAAAGGAAACAGCCAAUAUAUAUAUAUAUAUAUGUUGGCAACCCCUUUGUCUUGGAACAAGUCUCAAAGCCAAGAUCUGACUGUGUGGGAAAUGGUUCGCCGUAGUCUUGGUGCCGAAUAGGCUAUAGCGUCUAUCAGGAACCAGAGAGUUGCAUUCUUUCUGGGACAUGCAUGUGCACCAGACGCUGAUGAGGAGCCUAGCUCAUCAAAACACGAGUUAUUCAAGGUGAAAACUCUGGAAUUGCGAGGUGCUGGAGGUGCUAAAGGUGGAGAGGGAGUUUCUACUAACUGAUGAUCAUACUCCAUUUGAUUCCUAUUCUUAAGGUCCGUCCAGGUAUUGAUAUAUUUUCGCAUGUGUUACUGUUUGGGUUCAACUUCCAUGAAUAAGAAUUGGUAGGGUUCAGUUGAAUCCUAUUUUUUAUAAUAAAUCUCCUUUUCCAUACUCUGUUAUCUAUUUUUGCAGAAAGCGGAGAAAGAUCUUCUCCUAAUUUAUAUUCAGACUUCCAUGAAAAUUAAAUUGUUACUCGUCAGUGUGAAACCCACAUCUGUUUCUAUUUUUCUUGCCUCAUUCUAAUUUAUUUCUUGGUAAGUUGUGUGAUGUUUCUAAGAGACAAACUUUGGUACGCUCUUCUUCCACUCUGAAUUUUGUUUUUUACCUCGUGUGUUCGUGAAUUAAUGUGUUUGUUUUCAAAGCUUUUGAUUAUUUGGAAAAAUCUUUGUCUUUGAUUAAUACACAAACUAACUUGAAAAUAUCUUUAUCGUCGAACCAAAAGAAAAAAACUUUCAGAGCCAUCUUAACUGUGUAUUGCGAUAUAUCUAGCAGAUGAUCAAUAUCUCCUUUUGAAGGCUGCAUGCUAUAAUAAAGGAAAGGAAAUGACAAUAACCCAUGGUUUCUUCUACCUCCACCAGACCAACCCAGAUGGAGGUGGGCUAUAUCAGACCCAAUAACAAUAUUUCUAAUUUGCUUUCAUCAUUUCUUGGAAAUGCUCAAGGUUCAAACUUUUAAUUAAAUGCAUCUUUAAAUCACUUUGAGAAAGCAGUGUGAAUGUUCAAGACGUUCAAUGAAAGAUGCAAUUCACCUCUCAUCAUGCUUCGUCUCUCGAAUCCCUCCUACAUUCGCAAUGAUGACAAGAACACCAGCUCAAUCUCAUGAAGAUCAUGCGGGUACAGGGAUACCUGGAUCUACACUGCUUUCCGCUAUUAACCAGGUAUAUUAUGUUCCCUCAACAUUUUCAAAAACAUAAAUCAUCUUACAUUCAUUUUUCCUUGCUAGAUAGAAUGGACAGACAAUCAACACUUCGUUAAACCUUACAUUCGUCGUUUCUUCUUCUCUGGAGUUGCAUGUACUUGCGCCUUAAUCCCAUACUCGUUUAGCUGGAAGUUUUCAAAAGCCUCAGAGAUUGCUCCUACCUGUUACAUGAUGUUCAGAAAAAGAAAUGUUACUGGAAAUAGUAUGACAUGGUUAGGCAUCCAUUUGCAAUCAAACUACUAUGUCAUUUGGAUCUCAAACCAGUUCAGGCUUUUUGGCGUAGACCCUGACUAUCAUAUCUUGAAAGCAUGUAGGCAGCAGGUGACUGAUGCGAUCAUCAGGUAUAGAAAAUUUUUCUUCACUCUCAUAAUCCUAAACAGGAGAGAAGAAAAGGAAAUAAAACCACGUGUAAAAAAUUGAAUAUUAUAUGGGUUCUGGCUUGAGCAUAUAAUAAUGUUGAGUUCCACUCUAA